AGAAUCAACGCUGGCGGCGUGCCUAACACAUGCAAGUCGCACGAGAAAGGGACUUCGGUCCUGAGUAAAGUGGCGCACGGGUGAGUAACACGUGAAUAAUCUACCUCCGAGUGGGGAAUAACUGAGAGAAAUCUUAGCUAAUACCGCAUAACACUUACGAGUCAAAGCAGCAAUGCGCUUGGAGAGGAGUUCGCGGCAGAUUAGUUAGUUGGCGGGGUAAUGGCCCACCAAGACGAUGAUCUGUAUCCGGCCUGAGAGGGCGCACGGACACACUGGAACUGAAACACGGUCCAGACUCCUACGGAGGCAGCAGUGGGGAAUUUUGCGCAAUGGGGGAAACCCUGACGCAGCAACGCCGCGUGGAGGAUGAAAUCCCUUGGGAUGGUAAACUCCUUUCGAUAGGGAAGAUAAUGACGGUACCUAUAGAAGAAGCCCGGCUAACUUCGCGCCAGCAGCCGC
rnacentral:rRNA from 1 species